AGAGAAUGAACAUUUAUGAUGAAAUGUGACUUUGCCAUUAGUGUUGCAGAUUUGCUCGGGAAUGAAACCUUUUUGGAAAUGAGAGCGCGGUACAGAAAUUUCGAAAGGAUUAUAUAAAAUUUUGAAGUGAAUCACGAGGAUUUUCAAUGAAAGACAUUUAUGAUUAUACUCCUAUAUGAUUGUGAUUGCCCUCAAUCUCUUAUUUUCUCCUUGAUGUGAGAGUUUUCAGACAAUCUUUAUAUGUAACUUAAUAAAUACUUAAAAAUUACAUAUAAAAUUUAGAUAUAUAUUAUUGAAAAUAGAUAAAUUUAUCUUUUAAACUUAUCGCUAUUAAAAAU